rnacentral:rRNA from 1 species
CCCUUAGAUGUUCUGGGCCGCACGCGCGCUACACUGACUGGUGCAACAAGUGUCUAACCUUGGCCGAUAGGUCUGGGUAAUCUUUGAACGCUGUUCGUGAUUGGGAUAGACCUUUGCAAUUAUGGGUCUUCAACGAGGAAUUCCUAGUAAACGCAAGUCAUCAGCUUGCAUUGAUUACGUCCCUGCCCUUUGUACACACCGCCCGUCGCACCUACCGAUUGAAUGGUCCGGUGAAAUCUCGGGACGGCGGCUUGGUCGCUUGCGUCCGACUGCUGAAACUUGAUUAAACCAUAUCAUUUAGAGGAAGGUGAAGUCGUAACA